GCUACUGAUCUUAGCGGCGGACGGGUGAGUAAUGCUUAGGAAUCUGCCUAUUAGUGGGGGACAACAUUUCCAAAGGAAUGCUAAUACCGCAUACGUCCUACGGGAGAAAGCAGGGGAUCUUCGGACCUUGCGCUAAUAGAUGAGCCUAAGUCGGAUUACCUAGUUGGUGGGGUAAAGGCCUACCAAGGCGACCAUCUGUAGCGGGUCUGAGAGGAUGAUCCGCCACACUGGGACUGAGACACGGCCCAGACUCCUACGGGAGGCAGCAGUGGGGAAUAUUGGACAAUGGGCGGAAGCCUGAUCCAGCCAUGCCGCGUGUGUGAAGAAGGCCUUAUGGUUGUAAAGCACUUUAAGCGAGGAGGAGGCUACUUUAGUUAAUACCUAAAGAUAGUGGACGUUACUCGCAGAAUAAGCACCGGCUAACUCUGUGCCAGCAGCCGCGGUAAUACAGAGGGUGCAAGCGUUAAUCGGAUUUACUGGGCGUAAAGCGCGCGUAGGCGGCUAAUUAAGUCAAAUGUGAAAUCCCCGAGCUUAACUUGGGAAUUGCAUUCGAUACUGGUUAGCUAGAGUGUGGGAGA
rnacentral:rRNA from 1 species